rnacentral:lncRNA from 1 species
UUUUUAGCUCACCUGGCCCAAAGGGCCAAGUGAGCUUUUCCCAUCACUUUGCGUCCGGCAUCUGUCGUUCGUCGUCCGGCGUCGUUAACUUUUACAAAAAUCUUCUCCUCUGAAACUACUGGGCCAAAUUAAACCAAACUUGGCCACAAUCAUCAUUUGGGUAUCUAGUUUAAAAAAUGUGUCCGGUGACCCGGCCAACCAACCAAGAUGGCCGCCAUGGCUAAAA